rnacentral:misc_RNA from 1 species
UCCGAGGUUUACUCGGCAGUCUCGCCAGAAAAAUACAACUGGCGACAGGGGUCGCGCUCGUUGCGGGACUUAACCCAACACCUCACGGCACGAGCUGACGACGGCCGUGCAACACCUGUGCAUGCUCCCCGAAGGGUCCCUUGGCUUUCACCGCAGUACCACAUGCAUGUCAAACCUGGGUGAGGUUCUUCGCGUGUCAUCGAAUUAAACCACACGCUCCGCUGCUUGUGCGGGCCCCCGUCAAUUCCUUUGAGUUUUAGCCUUGCGGCCGUAGUCCCCAGGCGGAGUACUUAUCGCGUCAGCUUCGGCACAGAGGGGGUCGAUCCCCGCCCCACACCUAGCACCCAACGUUUACGGCUAGGACUAC